CGAAACGCCUCGGCUUUUCUGCGGACCCGCGCCCGGCCGCUGCCGCCGGACGCUUGAAAAGAGGCAGAGUCUUGCUUUGUUGUCCAGGCUGGUCUUGAACUUCUGAGCUCAAGUGAUCCUCCCGCCUUGGCCUCCCAAAGUGCUGAGACUACAGAGAGAGAAUGCUAACGAGCUGUGAAAUGACCAAAGAUCUGGCAGCAGAAGGGAAAAGAAAAAAUAAUGGAAUAUUUUCUGUCUACAAUUGGUUGAAUCUGUGGAUGUGGAAACUGCAGAUACAGAUGGAGAGCCGACUAUACUAGCUUUUUGUUUCAUUUUUCACUUCUGGAAGAAGAGGAUUUAUCUGACUCAACUGGAGAUGGCUCCCUUCCCUUAUUUAUUGUUGCAUCCUGAAGCUUCCCCCAUGCUGGGCUCAGUGUGAACAAACAGCGCGGGAGAAUGCAACCACUGCAGAGGCAUAUGUUUGAGAUACCUGGCCACUGGAGGUCAUCUCGUCUACUAUAUUCACCGCAGAUAAAGAAUGAAAAGAGAAUACACAACCUUGUGAUUGCUAGCAGUGAAAGCUCAGAGUUAUGACAUAACAAGUGGUUGAUCAUACUGUAAAACUCAAAUGUGAAGGGAAGGCUGGAACCUACUGGAAACUGAAGAUCUAACGAAAAGAAGGAACUUUUAGGAACUAGCAGAGACUUCAAAAUGUUGAGAACUCUCUUUUUUCAUAAGAGAAGAUAAAAACUCUGAUGGUCACACUCAUAAAGACAAAAAACAAAUAAAAAACAAACAAAAACUCAGAAUCACAAGAGCAAAGAAAAUGUAGGUAAAACAAUAACAGAAGAGGUAAAGAAAUUUAUGUGAAUUGGGACACUCUGGGGCACAGAACAGAAGAGGAGAAGAAACAUGAAAGUAAUGCUCUGCACAAGGAUGUCUGACUGUCCUUGAUUCCAAGGGCAUUUAAAAUUAGCCACUGGAUGAGAACCAUGAAAUGCCAUGACUCUUACAGCUCCCAUGAAAGACAUUGGAUGGAACUUAUCCUAACUGGACCAAAUUCUAAAAAAUUUUACAUGAUAUUAUAAUGAGUUGAAAGUUGAAAAAAAAAAGCUCUUCUAGAUUACCAAGAAUAAAACACAAAUUUCUAGCUGACUGAAUUAAUUCUCAUCUCUCUAUAGAAAGAUCAUAGAAAUUUUUUUUAUCAUGCAAAGAAAUAGCUAAAAAUUUACAAAAAUAUAGACGUGCAUUAGGCAGCUCAUGAAUAAAUGCGUUUUUUCCUUUUUUCCUCCAGAAUUUUGUGAUGUUUAUGGUACUUUUCGGCUUUUAAAAUUUUGUAUUUAAUCAGGAUUUAUUACUUCAUUGUAAGUAAAUAUUAAAUUUGUACUCCAUCUUUGUUUGUAAUUUUGUAUAUUUUUCAGUAAAAAGGACUCCCCAGAUUAUGUAAGCUUUAGGCCCCACAAAAUCUAGGCCUGUUGCUGUAUCCUUUCUAGAGCAGUGUUUCUCAAACUUCAAUGUGCAUUUGAAUCUCCUGGGGCUCCUGUUAAAAUAUAGCUUCUGAGAUGAUGCAUUUCUAACAGACUCCCAGGGCUGACACUGCCCAUCUGGGGACCACACUUUGAGAAUCAAAUAUCUAGAACAAUGGUUCUUACCUGGCUGUGCAUUGGGAUCAUUUAUAGUGCUUUUGGAAAAUACAUUGUGUCCAGGUCCCACCCAGUUCUCAGUAGGCUUGGAAUGGGGUCCUACACUUUUUUUUUUUAACUCCACAGUUUGGGAAAGAAGCCUUUUCAUAUAUUGUUGGUGGGAAUACAAAUUGAUACAGCCAUUUUUGAGCUUGAUUUGGCAAUAUCUUCCUUGGAGAAAUCAAAAGCCAGUUGGCAAGCCAGUCUGGAAAAGGCAGUUUACUGAUUCCCACCCGAGGGUCACAAAGCAGGUAUAGAAGGAUGGGCUUUGGCUGAAAUAUAUGAUGGGUACAGGUAUAUUCUCUAUAAUCCAGUAUUUCCACUGCUGAAAACGUAUCCUAGUAACAUUAUACAUAUCAAGCCUACAUAUAAAGUUGGUCAAUUCCAUAUUAUUUGUAGUAGGGGAAAACUGAAAGCAGUCUACAUGCCCAUCAAUAGAUUAUUCAAAUUAUGGAACAGUUUUCCAAUGACAAAACAAUAGCUAAUCUUAGUUAAGCAAUUAUUAUGUUAUGUAAGGUAGACAUUGUUCUACCUUAUUUAUAAGUAUUAAGUUAGUUUUUAUAACUAUCAUAUUUCCAUUUUACAAAUGACAUAAUUUAUAUUAUUGACAUGGGAAGAUGUCCAAGGAUAUAAUAAGCAAAAAGCAAGUAGCAAAACAUUAUGUAUAUUAUGCAUUACCAUUAUAAUAUACUAAAAAGUAAUGCACUUGAUUCUGAUGCACACUCCCCAGUAGGUAACAACUUAUCUAGUGUAAAAAUGAAAGAACAUUCUGGGCCGGGCACGGUGGCUCAUGCCUGUAAUCCCAGCACUUUGGGAGGCCCAGGUGGGCGGAUCACAAGGUCAGGAGAUCGAGACCAUCCUGGCUAACAUGGUGAAACCCCGUCUCUACUAAAAAUACAAAAAAAAAAUUAGCUGGGCGUGGUGGCCGGCGCCUGUAGUCGCAGCUACUCGGGAGGCUGAGGCA
rnacentral:lncRNA from 1 species